rnacentral:misc_RNA from 1 species
UGAUGCGUUUAACGUGGCCACUUCCUGUCCAGUAGCAACUCCAUUUGAGCUGCUACAGUUCACUCUAUCUUCAGCUGAAUCAGUAGUUUCGUUGAAGAAAUUGUAGUGAUCGUACCGUAGAAAACAUCCGUCGAGAUAUAUUCGACCGGAUUUACCCGGAAGACAACGAGGAAGUCGAGUUCGACUAGCAGCGUAGCAUAGAAGACAGUCCUGAUGUGGUAGAUCCUGAUAACAAUUUGCUAAUGCAUAAAUUGAUAUAUUUGUUGAAUUUACACCGUGGUUUCCCCAAUUGUUAUCCGUCACGCGUUGUGAAACAACUUCCAUUAGUUUAACAAAUUGGGGAAUAAUGAUCGCCGCUGUUGUCCUGUUCGUGCCGCAUAUUAGUCCAGAUUCUGAAAUUCGAG